GGCUCAGUGACAAAGAUUCACGCCUCGGCUCGACAACGGGGAGUCCACGGGAGAGGAAAAAGUCAUGAUGGUUCGCCGGAGGAGGAGGAGGAAGAAGAAGUGUGCACGCCGCGUGGUCACGCCGAUAGUGUUGUUGUCCUGCGUGGUGACCACAGAUGUUGCGCUAGCUGUUCAAAGUCGGGACCCGGGGUGGACCACUCAUCUGUGCAUCAGUUGGGGACGUCUCUGCGCUGCUGACUUGUCUCCACACAAGAUGAUCCCCUGCUGGCCCCACUAUGGACUGGACUCUCACACUAUUAACUAGAUCCACUCGACGUCCAUUGCACCAGUCGCCCGGCUGCGGUCCCCUCCAAUGUUUUUCAUUGUAUCCCAUUGUCGAGUUUUUUCUUGCCCUGAUGUGGGAUCUGAGCCGAGGAUGUUGUGGCUAGUGCAGCCCUUUGAGACACUUGUGAUUAAGUGCUAUACAAAUAAACUUUGAUUGAUUGA